rnacentral:rRNA from 1 species
UACGGAGGGUGCGAGCGUUUGUCCGGAAUCACUGGGCGUAAAGGGCGCGUAGGCGGCGCGGGGAGUCAACGGUGAAAGCUCGGCGCUCAACGCCGAGUCGGCCGUCGAUACUCCCGUGCUCGAGCACUGUAGAGGCAGGUGGAAUUCCGGGUGUAGCGGUGGAAUGCGUAGAGAUCCGGAAGAACACCGGGUGGCGAAGGCGGGCCUGACUGGGGGUCAAUGGCUGGACACUGAUGCGCGACAGCG